UACGAUGGGUGCUUUCAUUGUUCGGAAUCACUGGGCGUAAAGCGUGCGCAGGCGGAUAUGCUAGUCAGGGGUGAAAUCCCGGGGCUCAACCCCGGAACUGCCUUUGAAACUGCAUGUCUAGAGUCCGAGAGAGGAUAGCGGAAUUCCUAGUGUAGAGGUGAAAUUCGUAGAUAUUAGGAGGAACACCAGUGGCGAAGGCGGCUAUCUGGCUCGGUACUGACGCACAGGCACGAAAGCGUGGGGAGCAAACAGG
rnacentral:rRNA from 1 species